GGGCUGGCUUUAGCCCAGUGGUUCCUUUGAGUCUGGCUUCCCAACCACCCAGUCCAAUUGGUCCGGUGGUUCGAGACCCGUGGGCGCGCUCCAGUCCUUUU
ensembl:misc_RNA Vault Vault RNA